rnacentral:tRNA from 1 species
GCGGUCAUGAUGGAAUUGGCAGACAUGCAGGAUUUAGGUUCCUGUGCCGCGAGGCGUGUGGGUUCAAGUCCCACUGACCGCA